GUAGUGUGAGGUGGUUGUGUGUCUGUGAGAGCUGUAAUAUCCUCAAACGGAAAACAAAUUUCGAUCGAAUUGUGGAUUUAUUAAUCGUUUGCAUUGUGAUAUCUUGUUUGAAGAGUGAUCCUAUUAUACAAGCUACUUGGAAUGAUUGGGUUUUAUGGUUACAUAUGAUGGCUUCCAUCUAAAAGGUUAUAUUUUUUUUCAUUGACCUUCGAGGAGUUUAGAUCGUUGUGCUCUAAGGUGCGGAAUUUUGUGUUCCAGUGUUUUACCCAACUGGUGUUCCGUACUGAACAACUUUAUCCUUGACCCGAAAUGAUUGGGAGAGUAAGUAUGGCCUGGAUGAAUAAUUGAAAUGAACAGCAUAGCUCAAUCGGUGCAGAGAAUGACAUGCAGACUUCGUUGGCAUAUGUGUAUGGACUAUGGGCUAAAUUAGAAUUUGCUUUUAACCACGACAUUUUAGCCUGAGCUAAAAUUACCAGCUUAAGUGUGUUAUCUGCGAAUGCAGUCUUAACUGUCGUGUUUUAGUAUGAAUUAACGAUCUAAAAAUUAGUCCUUGUCCCUAAGAGUUCAACCUUUAUUCUGGUCCUUAUCCGCAAUUGUAAAUUCGCUUAUAACCCUGGUAUGUCACGAAUUUUUUACAUAUUCUUUUGAACUCAGUCUUCAUUUAAACCAGUGUGGUCUUGGCAGCUCAGUGGAAUGGCCGGCGACUUCCCGCCUGCGCUGGUCCAUAGUAGUUUCCGUUCAAUGCCACGAUCGAGUUUCAUACGACCUUACUGAACCUGUGAGCUAGGUAAGGACGAUCACAUGGGUCUACCUGCUGAGUCAUCAGUCCGAGGACUCAUUUCGAUGGAAAGAGGACUGCGCUUUUCUGAGUACAUUCCGUACGCUUAUUCUAUCCAUAGGAUAUUUGAAGCAAGUGCAGUGACCUGUCCAAUGCCCAGUGCUAUUCAUGAUCAACUCUCAGCCUCUGGUUUAAAUUACAUAUUUAUUCUGUAACUCAUCUAUGGUCCUACUUGCGGAUUCAAUCUUUAGUUCGACACACUACCGAGAUAUAGCCUAUAUUCAGUCUUGAAGUUAGACAUGUUAUUCGGAUGUAGUUUUCUCAGUCUUUAUAGAGGAGCAUGUGAAGUUAUUGUCGAUGAGAAUUCGACACAUAUUGCCUCUUGCACUUUCCGGUUUGAUAUGAUGACUGUAUGAUGAUUAUUUGUGUGUUUUUGUAUAGAUUUUUUACGAAGUGUAUACAUUAUUAGAGAUGCAAACAAAUAAUCAUGCGUAGUAUUGAAUUCAGUGUUCAGUUUUUUUCCACUCACAUCUCUUGAUGCUUAUCACGUCCAUUCGUACAGGCUGAAUCUACCAUAGAUGUCCGUAGAGGAUGAACAUCAACGCCUUUUUGAUAUUUUACAAAUUUAAGUUCUGGUACCUGGGCCCAGUUUUUUUCCUUCAUGUAUUAUACUACUUAAAGAUUUUUCUGUAGUUAUUAGCAGUUUCAAGUGAUUCUCGCUAAUAGUGCACUGGUUA